CAGGCUUAACACAUGCAAGUCGAGGGGAAACGAUAGAGAAAGCUUGCUUUUUCUAGGCGUCGACCGGCGCACGGGUGAGUAACGCGUAUCCAACCUGCCCAUCACUUGGGGAUAACCUUGCGAAAGUAAGACUAAUACCCAAUGAUAUCUCUAGAAGACAUCUGAAAGAGAUUAAAGAUUUAUCGGUGAUGGAUGGGGAUGCGUCUGAUUAGCUUGUUGGCGGGGUAACGGCCCACCAAGGCGACGAUCAGUAGGGGUUCUGAGAGGAAGGUCCCCCACAUUGGAACUGAGACACGGUCCAAACUCCUACGGGAGGCAGCAGUGAGGAAUAUUGGUCAAUGGGCGAGAGCCUGAACCAGCCAAGUAGCGUGCAGGAAGACGGCCCUAUGGGUUGUAAACUGCUUUUAUAAGAGAAUAAAGUGAGUCUCGUGAGACUUUUUGCAUGUACCUUAUGAAUAAGGACCGGCUAAUUCCGUGCCAGCAGCCGCGGUAAUACGGAAGGUCCGGGCGUUAUCCGGAUUUAUUGGGUUUAAAGGGAGCGUAGGCCGGAGAUUAAGCGUGUUGUGAAAUGUAGACGCUCAACGUCUGCACUGCAGCGCGAACUGGUUUCCUUGAGUACGCACAAAGUGGGCGGAAUUCGUGGUGUAGCGGUGAAAUGCUUAGAUAUCACGAAGAACUCCGAUUGCGAAGGCAGCUCACUGGAGCGCAACUGACGCUGAAGCUCGAAAGUGCGGGUAUCGAACAGGAUUAGAUACCCUGGUAGUCCGCACGGUAAACGAUGGAUGCCCGCUGUUGGUCUGAAUAGGUCAGCGGCC
rnacentral:rRNA from 1 species